UCUUGCUGGAUUUGUUAUUUGGUGUGGAAGUCUUGAGUUCGUUGGCCGAACUUCGAAAUGUAAUCAAGGUUAUAAAAUGGAUCUCAACUUUAUUGAUGAAGAGCUCUUGAGUAUGUGAUGGCUGUUAUACAGCAUGUAAAGUGUAAGGAAAUGUAAAGGAAGUUGGUGAUGUUACGGAAGACUUUUCAGCAGCCUUCGAUUGAAAGGGAUUCUGGAUUAAGUCUGAAUCGAAAGUAAAAACAACUUAUUUUGAAGACUAAAAUUGUGGUUUUUAGUUAUGUGUGUCUUAACCUGUUGUGUUUGAAAGUUUGGU